GCUUAAUCCACCAUGAGGCCCUGAAUGCAGUAUAAAGAAAAACUGUCUUUUGCAAAAGUGCCCUGCGGGCUCUGAAUUUACUUGAACCUAAUGUGGGAGAGUGAUGGGCAUCCUGCAUUGGUAGAGGAUCAUCCUGUACAUGAUGCCUGGGGUCUCUUCGCAGUUGCAAUCUCCCUGUACUAUCUAGUGAAUAAGAAGGAGCUGCAGGACAUAAGCCCAGAGGAAACGGCCACUGAUCACCCAUUUAUGAGCUUUCAAGGCAACUGAAUAGCUAAAGGCUGCUGAAUGAGCUCUGGAAGACUGUGGUAGAAAAGGAAAAACAACCAAGGAAGCCUGAGAAUCUGAAAAGGUGGCCAGUUGGAAGACAAAUAUGGGCUAUGACUGUCACCUGUUGUAUAGGAUCAUAGAACCUUAGAGCUGGAGGAGCUUCAGAAGUUGCGUUCAUCUACUUCUCCUCCCUCUACUGCUACCCAGGGGAGGGUGAAACUGCCUUUGCCAAAUUGUAACCGAGGAAACUAUGACAGUGGAAGAAAUCAGACCUAACCGACUCCAUCUUGCUUCUAAUCUUUAAGUCGUCCUUGUUCAUUCCUGGGCAUAGGCCAAGCUAACUUUGAGAAGGAAUUCAGUUCAUGGUUUGACUUAAACAAAAUUGAUAACAGCUCUUUCCCUGAAAGACCCGCUUCUUGCCUGGGGACCAAUCUGCCUUUGUAGGACUAACAAAUUAGCCUCAAGAUUAGAAAUUACAGUUUAGGGGUCAUGCAGCCUCUGGCUCCUAGAGUCUGAACCUCCCCAAAUUGCUCCUGGGGAUAACAUCACUAUUGUAAAACCUAAGAUCAGUGCUUGAGAUAUUUUGCAGACCUUGCACUCAGUGUAUCAGCUGACACCACCCAGACCAGUAAUCUGCUUUAACCAGGUCUGCCAUCCCACCCAGGAACAGAAGACAGCAAGAAAACCACACUUCGACCCCCUAUGAUUCCAUCUCCAACCCAACCACAUCAGCACUCCCCAUUUCCCAAGCCCCUACCCACCAAAUUAUCUUUAAAAACUCUGAUCCCUGAAUGCUCGGGGAGACUGAUUUGAGUAAUAAUAAAACUCUGUCUCCCCGCACAGCCGGCUCUACGUAAAUUACUCUUUCUCCAUCGCAAUUCCCGUCUUGAUAAAUUGGCUCUGCUAGGCAGCGGGCAAUGUGAAGCCAUUGGGCAGUUACAAAGUCACCAGUGUCUCUGAACCUACAGGGAUGUUUAAAUGGCCUUCUGACUAUAUCUCAUGCUUCCACUCUUGCUUUCUCCCCCACCCCCAACCCUUUGGUUUCAAUUUCCACAAG
rnacentral:lncRNA from 1 species